UACGUAGGGUGCAAGCGUUAAUCGGAAUUACUGGGCGUAAAGCGUGCGCAGGCGGUUCUGUAAGACAGAUGUGAAAUCCCCGGGCUCAACCUGGGAACUGCAUUUGUGACUGCAUGGCUAGAGUACGGUAGAGGGGGAUGGAAUUCCGCGUGUAGCAGUGAAAUGCGUAGAUAUGCGGAGGAACACCGAUGGCGAAGGCAAUCCCCUGGACCUGUACUGACGCUCAUGCACGAAAGCGUGGGGAGCAAACAGG
rnacentral:rRNA from 1 species